UAUUCAUUCUAUAAUAGAGGUAAACUGAUCUAUUCAUUCUAUAAUGGAGGUAAACUGAUCUAUUCACUCUAUAAUGGAGGUAAACUGAUCUAUUCAUUCUAUAAUGGAGGUAAACUGAUCUAUUCACUCUAUAAUGGAGGUAAACUGAUCUAUUCACUCUAAUGGGUGUGAACUGAUCUAUUCACUCGAUAAUAGAGGUAAACUGAUCUAUUCAUUCUAUAAUGGAGGUAAACUGAUCUAUUCACUCUAUAAUGGAGGUAAACUGAUCUAUUCAUUCUAUAAUGGAGGUAAACUGAUCUAUUCAUUCUAUAAUGGAGGUAAACUGAUCUAUUCACUCUAUAAUGGAGGUAAACUGAUCUAUUCAUUCUAUAAUGGAGGUAAACUGAUCUAUUCACUCUAUAAUGGAGGUAAACUGAUCUAUUCAUUCUAUAAUGGAGGUAAACUGAUCUAUUCACUCUAUAAUGGAGGUAAACUGAUCUAUUCAUUCUAUAAUGGAGGUAAACUGAUCUAUUCACUCUAUAAUGUGUGUAAAUUAAUUCCUCUAUAUGUUGUCUAUUGCUAGCAGCACCAUUUCACAUUCUGGGUCUGUAAAUAUACAGUUGAAGUCGGAAGUUUACAUACAUCUUAGCCUAAAUAUAUUUAAACUCAGUUUUUCACUAUUCCUGACAUUUAAUCUUAGUAAAAAUUCCCUGUCUUUGGUCAGUUAGGAUCACCACUUUAUUUUAAGAAUGUGAAAUGUCAGAAUAAUACUAGUGUGAUUUAUUUCAGCUUUUAUUUCUUUCUUCACAUUCCCAGUGGGUCAGAAGUUUACAUACACUCAAUUAGUAUUUGGUAGAAUUGCCUUUAAAUUGUUUAACUUGGGUCAAACGUUUCGAGUAGCCUUCCACAAGCUUCCCAGAAUAAGUUGGGUGAAUUUUGUCCCAUUCCUCCUGACAGAGCUGGUGUAACUGAGUCAGGUUUGUUGGCCUCCUUGCUCGCACACGCUUUUUCAGUUCUGCCCACAAAUGUUCUAGCGGAUUGAUGUCAGGGCUUUGUGAUGGCCACUCCAAUACCUUGACUUUGGAAGUGUGCUUGGGGUCAUUGUCCAUGUGGAAGACCCAUUUGCGACCAAGCUUUAACUUCCUGACUGAUGUCUUGAGAUGUUGCUUUAAUAUAUCAACAUAAUUGUCCAUCCUCAUGAUGUCAUCUAUUUUGUGAAGUGCACCAGACCCUCCUGCAGCAAAGCACCCGCACAACAUGAUGUUGGGAUGGUGUUCUUCGGCUUGCAAAGCAUCCCCCAUUUUUUAUUUUUGUUUCAUCAGACCAGAAGACAUUUCUCCAAAAAGUACAAUCUUUGUCCCCAUGUGCAGUUGCAAACUGUCUUUUUUUUAUGGCGGUUUUGGAGCAGUGGCUUCCACCAUGCUGAGCGGCCUUUCAGGUUAUGUCGAUAUAGGACUCAUUUUACUGUGGAUAUAGAUACUUUUGUACCUGUUUCCUCCAGCAUCUUCACAAGGUCCUUUGCUGUUGCUCUGGGAUUGAUUUGCACUUUUCGCACCAAAGUACGUUCAUCUCUAGGAGACAGAACGCGUCUCCUUCCUGAGCGUUAUGACGACUGCGUGGUCCCAUGGUGUUUAUACAU